rnacentral:rRNA from 1 species
UACAGAGGGGGCAAGCGUUGUUCGGAAUUACUGGGCGUAAAGGGCGCGUAGGCGGCCUGCUAAGUCGAACGUGAAAUCCCUGGGCUCAACCCAGGAACUGCGUCCGAUACUGGUUGGCUUGAGUUCGGGAGAGGGAUGCGGAAUUCCAGGUGUAGCGGUGAAAUGCGUAGAUAUCUGGAGGAACACCGGUGGCGAAGGCGAUUCUCUGGGCCUGUACUGACGCUGAGGUGCGAAAGCGUGGGGAGCGAACAGG